rnacentral:rRNA from 1 species
UACACUCCUGCGGGAGGCAGCAGUGGGGAAUAUUGCACAAUGGGCGCAAGCCUGAUGCAGCCAUGCCGCGUGUAUGAAGAAGGCCUUCGGGUUGUAAAGUACUUUCAGCGGGGAGGAAGGCAAUACGGUUAAUAACCGUGUUGAUUGACGUUACCCGCAGAAGAAGCACCGGCUAACUCCGUGCCAGCAGCCGCGGUAAUACGGAGGGUGCAAGCGUUAAUCGGAAUUACUGGGCGUAAAGCGCACGCAGGCGGUCUGUCAAGUCGGAUGUGAAAUCCCCGGGCUCAACCUGGGAACUGCAUUCGAAACUGGCAGGCUUGAGUCUUGUAGAGGGGGGUAGAAUUCCAGGUGUAGCGGUGAAAUGCGUAGAGAUCUGGAGGAAUACCGGUGGCGAAGGCGGCCCCCUGGACAAAGACUGACGCUCAGGUGCGAAAGCGUCGGGAGCAAACAGGAUUAGAUACCCCAGUAGUCCC